CCUACGGGCGGCAGCAGUGGGGAAUAUUGCACCAUGGGGGAAACCCUGAUGCAGCGACGCCGCGUGAGUGAAGAAGUAAUUCGUUAUGUAAAGCUCUAUCAGCAGGGAAGCAACUGACGGUACCUGAGUUAGAAGCCCCGGCGAACUACGUGCCAGCCGCCGCGGUAAUUAGUAGGGGGCCAGCGUUAUCCGGAUUUACUGGGUGUAAAGGGAGCGUAGACGGCAGUGCAAGUCUGGAGUGAAAGGCCGGGGCUCAACCCCCGGACUGCUCUGGAAACUGUACGGCUGGAGGGCGGGAGGGGUAAGUGGAAUUCCUGGUGUAGCGGUGAAAUGCGUAGAUAUUAGGAGGAACACCAGUGGCGAAGGCGGCUUGCUGGACCGCGACUGACGUUGAGGCUCGAAAGCGUGGGGAGCGAACAGGAUUAGAUACCCUUGUAGUC
rnacentral:rRNA from 1 species